rnacentral:lncRNA from 1 species
AAAAAAGCUACUUUUCCUUUCAGCCACACUGCUGAAGGGCACCAUGCGGAAGCCUGGUAUCCGACUAAUGCUCACCAAGUGUUACAAGGCUUGAGCGCAGGGAAAUAUGCAACCUUGUGACCCUGACUCAGAAUAGCCAAACUCCAUCUGCUCUGAAACUUUAAAUGGAUUUUAUCCAGGGAAAGCUCAGAAACUGCAAGUACAGAAUCUCACAAAACCAGAGAAGAAUGAACAGGAACACUUCUAAGUACAAGGUAGUUGAUGAGCCAUUACAUCAAUGAGGAGGUACCUCCAUGCUGCAUUUCUCAGCUGCUCCUAGAAGCCCAGCUUCUUCUGCUUAGUGUCUAAGAGGUCUUUCUC